AACGAACGCUGGCGGCAGGCCUAACACAUGCAAGUCGAGCGAACGUAGCAAUACGUGAGCGGCGCACGGGAGAGUAACGCGUGGGAACCUACCUUUUGGUUCGGAAUAACGUCGGGAAACUGACGCUAAUACCGGAUAAGCCCUAUGGGGGAAAGAUUUAUUGCCGAAAGAGGGGCCCGCGUUGGAUUAGCUAGUUGGUGAGGUAACGGCUCACCAAGGCUACGAUCUAUAGCUGGUCUGAGAGGAUGAUCAGCCUCACUGGGACUGAGACACGGCCCAGACUCCUACGGGAGGCAGCAGUGGGGAAUAUUGGACAAUGGGGGAAACCCUGAUCCAGCCAUGCCGCGUGAAUGAUGAAGGCCUUCGGGUUGUAAAGUUCUUUUGGUGGGGACGAUGAUGACGGUACCCACAGAAUAAGCUCCGGCUAACUUCGUG
rnacentral:rRNA from 1 species